rnacentral:misc_RNA from 1 species
CUGGAGUGAUGAAACAGCUUGUGCUGCAAUGAGAUCAGCUGAGAGUUCUGUUGUCCCCCAACCUCCCUCCUCGAAGUAUGGUGCAUGAAGAUCUCUUCCAAAAGACCCAUACGAGAAUGACCAGUUGCUGUUUUCCAUUUCACUCCACUCACAUCCAGUUCCACAUGCAUUGGAAAUCCACCCAACACUUUCACGUGAAUGACUCAAGUGGUCCUGAUGCGGAAUGCAUGCUCUUUGUUCACCCAUUAAGAGAUUGAUACUACUAGCACAAUCCCAAGGGUUGAAACCCUCUUCUUUGUUUAGCACAAUUUUACAUGGAUCAUCAGAGUCCUCACCAAGUAAUACAUGCAGAGCAACAGCCUCUGCAAUUGCGGCACCCUCUUCAUCAAGCCUUUGUUGUUCUUCCUUCUUUUUCAGUUUCUUCUUCUCUAGUUCAGAUAUGAUGGCUGCAGACGUAGCAAGGGCUUUCUCCAAACGCCUCUUUUUCUUCUCAGCCUGUUUGAGACGAUCUAACUCUCCUUUCACCUGCUUCUUCUUCACUUUCCUCACAACAGGUUGCAC